CCUACGGGGUGCUGCAGUGAGGAAUAUUGGUCAAUGGCCGGAAGGCUGAACCAGCCAAGCCGCGUGAGGGAGGAAGGCGCAGAGCGUCGCAGACCUCUUUUGCCGGGGGACAAAAGGCCGGACGGGUCCGGUUCUGAGGGUACCCGGAGAAAAAGCAUCGGCUAACUCCGUGCCAGCAGCCGCGGUAAUACGGAGGAUGCGAGCGUUAUCCGGAUUCAUUGGGUUUAAGGGGUGCGCAGGCGGGCCUUUAAGCCGGCGGUGAAAUGGCGGGGCUCAACCCCGCCGAGCCGUCGGAACUGGGGGCCUGGAGUGCGGCGGAGGCAUGCGGAAGGCGCGGGGUAGCGGUGAAAUGCAGAGAUAGCGCGCAG
rnacentral:rRNA from 1 species